rnacentral:rRNA from 1 species
GACGAACGCUGGCGGCGUGCUUAACACAUGCAAGUCGAACGAAGUGGCGAACGGGUGAGUAACGCGUAAUCAACCUGCCCUUCAGAGGGGGACAACAGUUGGAAACGACUGCUAAUACCGCAUACUGAAGGAGGGGUUUGCGUCUGAUUAGCUAGUUGGAGGGGUAACGGCCCACCAAGGCGAUGAUCACUAGCCGUACUGCGAGGAUGAACGGCCACAUUGGGACUGCGACAAGGCCCCGACUCCUGCGGGAGGCAGCAGUGGGGAAGCUUCCGCAAUGGACGAAAGUCUGACGGAGCAACGCCGCGGGAGGGAUGACGGCCUUCGGGUUGUAAAGCUCUGUUAAGCGGGACGCGGUACCGGAAGAGAAAGCCACGGCUAACUACGUGCCAGCAGCCGCGGUAAUUC